UGUGGUGUUGGAGAAGACUCUUGAGAGACCCCUGGACAGCAAGGACAACCAACCAGUCAAUCCUGAAGGAAGUCAGUCCUGGAUAUCCAUUGGAUGGACUGAAACUCCAAUAGUUGGGCUGCCUGAUGCGAAGUACUGAUUCAUUGGGAAGGACUGUGAUGGUGGGAAAGAUUGAAGACAGCAGGAGAAGGGGACAAGAGAGGAUGAGAUGGUUGGAUGGCAUCACUGACUCAAUGGACAUGAUGAUGGCUGGAUGGCAUCAC